GAUAGAUAGAUAGAUAGAUAGAUAGAGGCAGCCCCACAUAGAGCGCAUUGCAGUAAUCCAGCCUAGAGGUUACCAGCAUAUGUAUCACCGUUUUGUGGUUGUUCAUCUCAAGAAAUGGACUCAGCUGGCAUAUCAGCCGAAGCUGAUAAAAAGGACCUUUGGCCACCACCUCAACCUGGGACACCAGGGAGAGGUUCAGAUUCAGAACCACCCCAAAACUGCAUACCUGUUCCUUCUGGGGGAGCAUGUCCCCAUCCAGAACCAGCAGAUCAAAAUUGUCUCCUGAGUUCUGACCCCACACAAUAGGUUCCUCCAUCUUAUCUGGAUUCAGCCUCAAUUUGUUAUCCCUCAUCCAGCCAAUUACUGCCUCUAGGCAAGCAUUUAGGGAGGUUAUGCCUUCUCCCAAUGAUGCUGACAUGAAGAAAUAGAUUUGGGUGUCAUCAGCAUACUGAUAACACAAUUCAACAAAUCUCCUGAUGAUCUCUCCCAGUGGUUUCAUGUAGAUGUUAAUCAGCAUCGGAGACAAUAUGGAGCCCUGAGGGACACCAUACGAAAGUUCAGAUUUUGAAGACCAACCCGCUCCAAGAGACACCAUCUGGAAUCUGUCCAAGAGAUGGCUGCCCACAGCCAAUUGUGGUGGUGAUGGCUGAUAAUAUCUCUGUCCCUGAGUGUUCUAUACUGUCUUCCAUUUUAACAUUCAUUCAAGCAGGCAAUUACUUGCACAUUUAGCCACCCACAAAUGAGCCGCAGCCAACCUUGCAACGAAGCUGAAAAGAGACAGCACACAAUAAACAAUGUCUUUAAAAGCAAGUUGUUCUAGUAAGAACUAAUCAGCCUACUUUCCUUUCCCUGUCUCUACAACUGGACUAUAUUUGGUUCAAAUUGAGGUCCACAAGUUAGAUCUCUUGCACCUCAAAUGUUAAUGCAUCCGCAAUCUUGGAUUGGGGUUUAUGACAUCAUUACAAACUACACCAUUGAGGUCUCCCUGUGUGUCACUCACUAUAACUGAACCAAAUUUAGCUCAAAUCAGUUAGACAGUCCACAAAUUAGUGCACUUGCACCUCAAAUGUUCAUGCGUCUGCCAUUUUGGAUUGAGGUGGAUGACAUCAUCACAAACUCCAUCAUUGGGGCAUUGCUAUGUGUCCAUACAGCUGUAGCAGAUUUGGUUCAAAUUGGUUAGACUGUUCACAAGUUAGCCCACUUGCGCCUCAAAUGUUCACACAUCUGCCAUCUUGGAUUGGAGUAGAUGACAUCAUCACAAUAUUUAUUUAUUAUUUAUUGAUUGAUCACAUUUUUAUACCACCCCAAAUACAAGUUCUCUAUGCCA